GACGAACGCUGGCGGCGUGCUUAACACAUGCAAGUCGAACGGAAAGGCCCUGCUUUUGUGGGGUGCUCGAGUGGCGAACGGGUGAGUAACACGUGAGUAACCUGCCCUUGACUUUGGGAUAACUUCAGGAAACUGGGGCUAAUACCGGAUAGGAGCUCCUGCUGCAUGGUGGGGGUUGGUAAGUUUCGGCGGUUGGGGAUGGACUCGCGGCUUAUCAGCUUGUUGGUGGGGUAGUGGCUUACCAAGGCUUUGACGGGUAGCCGGCCUGAGAGGGUGACCGGCCACAUUGGGACUGAGAUACGGCCCAGACUCCUACGGGAGGCAGCAGUGGGGAAUAUUGCACAAUGGGCGGAAGCCUGAUGCAGCAACGCCGCGUGCGGGAUGACGGCCUUCGGGUUGUAAACCGCUGUCGCCUGUGACGAAGCGUGAGUGACGGUAAUGGGUAAAGAAGCACCGGCUAACUACGUG
rnacentral:rRNA from 1 species